rfam:Sandaracinus amylolyticus strain DSM 53668, complete genome.
GUGGCCGUAGCUCAGUUGGUAGAGCAUCGGAUUGUGGCUCCGAGUGUCGCGGGUUCGAUUCCCGUCGGUCACC